AGUGAACGCUGGCGGUAGGCUUAACACAUGCAAGUCGAACGGCAGCACAGUAAGAGCUUGCUCUUACGGGUGGCGAGUGGCGGACGGGUGAGGAAUACAUCGGAAUCUACUUUUUCGUGGGGGCUAACGUAGGGAAACUUACGCUAAUACCGCAUACGACCUCCGGGUGAAAGCAGGGGAUCUUCGGACCUUGCGCGAUUGAAUGAGCCGAUGUCGGAUUAGCUAGUUGGCGGGGUAACGGCCCACCAAGGCGACGAUCCGUAGCUGGUCUGAGAGGAUGAUCAGCCACACUGGAACUGAGACACGGUCCAGACUCCUACGGGAGGCAGCAGUGGGGAAUAUUGGACAAUGGGCGCAAGCCUGAUCCAGCAAUACCGCGUGGGUGAAGAAGGCCUUCGGGUUGUAAAACCCUUUUGUUGGGAAAGAAAAACAGCAGAUUAAUACCCCGCUGUUCUGACGGUACCCAAAGAAUAAGCACCGGCUAACUUCGUG
rnacentral:rRNA from 1 species